GCACCGAUGGUCAAGGGGUUACGAUACGGUCCUCCCAUUAUAGACCGUGGCCCGGGUUCGAGUCCCGGUCGGUGCA